AUUCUUUUAAUAUUAAAUAUGCAAAUAAAUUCCAGUAUUUAUUCAAGAGAGCAAAUGCUUGGUUUUUUACUGGCGCAAAUUUUGCCCCCUGUGGACGUCAUGGAGAGAGAUAUGAUUGAGAAUUAAUCCUUUUGCUAAAAUAAAUUUUAAGGAGCUAAAAUCGAUGGAUAUGAAAGGUAGUUUAUAGAAUAUAUGUCGAGAAAAAAGUUGCGCUAUUUGCGUUCUAUUUUUAUGCAUUGCUUACCUUUGCCGAGUAAAGCGUAACAUUAAGGAGCGUCGGAUGCUGCUCGAUUACCACAAAUUCGAUCUCGCGAGGUAUAUAUCCAUUCGAGAAUACCUGACGUACAAAAUAGAUGUAUAAGAUGAUGUAGCAAAAAUGAAUAGCGUUAUUUUUUUAAAUUUUAUCUUUAAUUUUAUCUAGUGAUAAGAAAGUGGUUGCAUGAAAGGAUUGCAACAUACCUCUAACUUGUAAACGCCAGGUAGCAGAAUUCUCCAAAAUUCGCCGUAUUUGGUCGUCGAAAAGCUGACAUCUCGUGAUUUCACUUUAACCGACGCUCUUUCAAUGGGAUUGCCGUUUUCAUCGACAACGAAACCGUGAACGCCUCUGUGAGCUUCUGCCAAGAACUUGAUUAAAGACUAAAAAGACCACAAAACACAUGCGCUGAUAAGUUUCGCAAAUCUUAAGAGAUCAUUAAUCAUUUUGUUACUAUUACAUAUCUCAAAAGAGGAACGAUGAAUAAAUCUUGCAAGAGAUACAUAUUUGAAAAAAUGUACUCUGGGAGACUCACCGCUCGAUUUUCCUCCCAGUAGUGAGGCAGAUCCGAGGCCGGCGGAUAUUUGCAGCAAGAAAGUUCCAAGGAUAAAUUCAAAGAGGAAAUUCUCUCUGUGUACAAAAAAGAAGAAGAUCGACGAAUUUUCAACUUACGCGAAUUUGGGGUAUUGUCGAAGGGGUAGCUGGCUACCAAAGCACCACCGUGCAAACUACCCGAGAGCACGAACUGAAUCUUGGAGACCCAUUCCUUGACAGCCUCGGUCUCUGGUUGGCUCUUUUUGUUGUUCUGCUUAAAGUAGUCCGGGAAGUUGCGGUUUAGGUCGAAGCCACGUGCGUUAUACCUAUUCAAGUCGUGAAUAUGAGAAUAUACGAUGAGAGAGAAUCAGGAGCUCUUUUCUCCUCGUUCGCGUCUUCAGCGGAAACGGAACCGCUCGAUAUGUGUCGACGAGUUCUGAAUACAAGAUAGACUAAAAAACUAUGCAAAUAUCUAACCUGCCUUGACCACCAUCGCAGCGUCCUUCUUUAGAAACUUCAAAGCCAUCAGGAUUCAUCGACGGAAGAAUAUGAAUCCUUGUGUUAUCCAAUAACCACGUAAUAUAUGCAUCUGAUCCGUACGAUGUCACGAGGGACUAAAAGGGAAAAAAAGGAAAAAGGAUUAUAUCUCGGAACAUAUUUGUGUCAUCUUUGUCGAACAAAAAUAGAUUAUUAAUAUUAUUAUUAAUUUUAAGGAUAUGACGCAAUGAAAAAUAUAGACGUCGUUUUACGUGCAUGUCAUUGAGAGGAACACGUGACGCGGAAUUUCCAACACCUGAUAAUUACGUACAUGAAUGAGAUGCAGCAUUAACUCGCGUCCCACAGCUUCGUUUCCGUGUAUGUUAGCAAUAUACUUUACAUCAGGCUUUCCGAUCAUGUGCUCGUAGGGCGACGACGAGACCACCAUCACCCAUAGAUCACGACCUGUCGCACGAGAAGUUGCUGUCCUCUUUUUCAUCGAAAUCGAUACAGCGUCUACAGAAGUGUUUUUUUUUCAUCUCCGAAAGCAUGUGAUGUAUUCGCACCGCAUUCCUUCACACAUAUGUAAGAGAAUCCGUACCUUUCACCGACUUUCCUAUCGAGUACAGAGCGGUGAGAUUUUGAAAUCGAAGGGACGUCGCGCGAAGAAAGCGGCUCAUCUGCUCGUAAUUGUGAAAAGAAAAAAAACCCGUUUACGUGGCGGCGACCGGCGCCGAUGACGAGGAGGACACGCACUUUUCGUCGUAUGCGAUCACGUUGGCGGAUAGGUCGACGGACGGCAUUUGCGGAAGUCGAGGGGGAUCAAGAAGAAGAAAAAGAAGAAGAAGAAGAAAAAAGGAGAGGAAAGAGAAGAGGAAAAUCGCGAAAGAGGAGGAACGCGCGCCGGCAGUGAGCGAGAAUGAGGUCCGCGCGCGGACACCUCUGACAGUUGACGUCCGAGUACGUAGGAGGAAGGUGUUAGCCGCCUCUUCUCUUCUCGCCUGCGUGAGAGUAUAGCGGCGAGAUACGUGAUACUGCGAACUCUUAUAAAGAGAAGCGAAAUAUGCCGUGCACUCACUAUACCACCACCAGUGUACCGGCAGAAGAGCAGCAAACCACCACCACCACCGCUGCCGCCUCCACCGUCAGCGCUAUCAUCAGCAACCACCACCACCAGCAGCGGCAACACCACCACCACCGUCGACGCCACCACCGCUACUUAAUGAAGCCCACUUCCUCCGUCACCGGUAUCUGCACCGCUGUCUGCUCUCUCUCCGUUGUAGACCAACCACUGGCACAAUGUGUACCAGCUAGCUAGGAGACAGCCCGUUUACCCGUCUCAUCUCUCGGGCACCUACUACCACUAUGUUAUACCACUACUACGUCAAACGGCCGCAACAAUGAGCAACCCGUCGACCGUAUCGCCGCGAAUUGUUAUAUUUCACGCACGCAUUUAGCACGUACACGCAUAUAUAUUGUAUACAUGUAUGUAUAUAUACGUUAACAAGAGCGCGAUGAUAUCUCCGGGGAUCUUUUGCGUAAACGUAACACAGGAAGUUUCGUUUCACCGCGCGAUGCGGACGAGAUAAAGCUUCUGUCGUCGAGGGAAGGGAAACGUCCCGUAAAAAGGGAAACUUUCGACAAUUACAAGCGAGUCAAUAGAAAUGGGAAAAUAAAUAGAUGUCUAAAUUUAGCCGAGCAGCGACCCAUAAAGAUUCUCUAGAUGAAAUUAAUAUUUGUUCUGCGAUUAACAAAUGUAUAUCGCUAGGAUAUUCAAGUAAUUCAUUAAAAAUUCUUUUAUCAUAUUAUAUCACGAGAUUGUAAAAGUCAAUUCUGCCCAAAAAUGGCGCAUUAAUUUUAGACCGACAGAGAGUGGUCUCCACUAAGACUAAUUCCACGAUCUAGCGUCGCUUUACAUAUUAAAGAGGACGAGUACAUAUGUAUCAACUCGCGUGCUUGACUACCGGUUACGGAUCACCACUACUGUUACACCAUUACAACUACAUAUCUACUGACGUUCACCAGCGCUACCGGUGUUAAUUGAGGUGAAGAGGUUUUCGUUCUUCAUGUUUGGACCCCAUCCUCCCCCCUAUGUCAAGGGGGCCGAAUGGGGAGAAGAAGAGGAGGGCGAGAGUUCGCGUCAGCUCCGGGUGCUAUAUAUUUUCGAAUAUAAUGAGCCCGCCCGCGUCCAUCCGACUGAGACACCAAUACAGCGUUGGUAUACAGGUCGAUAGAGCAUUCGUAAGAUCACCGACGCGUCCACCGACACCACCAACACCACCACUAUCAUCGGCCACGUACUUUCGACGAGUUAUUGAGGACGGUGUCCUACUAGCGGUGCCCGACCCCUCUUCUCUUCCUAUUCAUGCUGGCCGAGGCACACGGAUCACGGUUUCGGAUGGAUCGUUGAACCCGCGGGAGGAAGGUGAAACACGUCGAAAAAAAAGUGCUCAGUCAGAAGUGUGUCACCGAGGCGAGCGAGCGUGAUGAGGUGGGGAAUGAAGAUGAGAGAGAGGAGGAAGACGGAAAGGAAGUCCGAGAACUUGGUGCGUUCCCCCAAGGUGGAUUUCGCUCACGGUCGACGAUUUACCUUGAAACGACGAAAAAAAAAAAAAAAAGAAAUCAUCUCCGCUCGUAUAUCGAAGAAGAGAUCUCUUUCGUAACGGAUCACGUAUACACGUAUCACGUAUACGUCGGCGAAACGGGAAUUUGUGUUAAUAAAGUUCAAUGUCGGAAUUUAGAUGUAUAGAAAUGUGGCGACCUAAGUAAGAGCGCUCCCAUGUGUCAUUUAUUUAUUUGGGGGGGGAACUAAAUUUUGAAUUAGCGGGGACAAAUAUAUUCGCGAGGGAAGGGUGAAUUAUAUAGUCUCUUGUACGAGAUGUACGAUAUUAUGGAAACGUGUGAUUAGACUUGAAACGAGAGCUGUCAUUACAAACGUCGCGACUUAAGGCCGUAAUUAACGGCUUUGGAGAAACGUAAAUUCUUGAAACAUAAGUAAGUCACUGGAAAUCGACCGGCAAUUUCCUUCUUCAUAAAAGAAUUAUGAUUCUCGAUAUCAUCUUUCGUGUCUCUCUUUCACAAAAUUAAUUACGCGUUUAAUAUUUAAAAAUAUGAUACAUAUAUUAAUAGUUACAAAUUCCAUGAAAAUUUUAUUUUAUUACGAUAUACGUCACACACUGUAUCCAAAUAUUCUUGCGACAAAAAUAAAUAUUUCUAAGAAAUAA